UCAAAGCUUUUUACGGCUUGACGAAACUGGAAUUCUUGCCAGAUUGGCGGGUAAACGCAACACUAACCUGCCCAGAGGAAUUGUUGUGUGACGACGAGCGACUUCAAUCAUCCGACAAUGUGUACCUUUUCAACUUAGAAGAGGACCCGUGUGAAUGCAACAACCUUGCAUCCACCCAUAUAGAGCUACUGGAGUCACUGAACAGAACUCUGGAAUUCUACAGGGCGCAGACCAUAGCCCCUCUGAACGAGGACGUUGACCCCGAUUCCUAUCCUUACUUGCACAAUGGAACUUGGGCACCUUGGUUGGACUGAAGCGACGGAAGUGUGUCCACCCUACAUGUCACUGCAAAUACCGCUGGUUUCGUCCUACACCUUAGCCGCUGCCAUUCGCCACGUUCUUCUAAGCCGUCAACGCCUAGAGCCUACGAAGCUUUCGUCACGUUAAUUUGCGAGGCUUCAUUUCUGGUA